rnacentral:lncRNA from 1 species
CACAGAGAAGCGGCAAGGAUUCCAAGCCAGCUCCUUGCUUCACACAGGCCAACCUCUGACCUGCCUUCCAAAUGGAUUCCUGGCAAAAUCACAUUAGCCCAGGAUUCGUCAUACUAUGGCUGGAAAUAUCCAUUCAGAUAAAGAGCCCAAAAAGAUCUCUUUAAACAAGACCUCUGAGCUGAGAGAGAGCAACAUGACAAAACAAAUGCACCAAUAAUUCAGCUAUGCAACUGGGAUCAGCAGUCAGGCCCUCUGGAAAAACACGAGUCAUGGCUGCUGUUUUGCUGGGUGUGGUUCUUCAUCUGCCUCAGAGCGUUUUUGAAGAUGACGUUCACUUCAGACAACAGAGAACAGGAUUUGUGCAAGAAAAAUAUGUCCUUGGAAGCUCCUGACCCAAGAAGAAUGUAAAGACAGUGGAAUGGAACAAAACCAACCCAAAUCUUCAACUAAGCCAAUCAAGCCACAGUCUAAGAAAAGAUACUCCAGACAAAUAGGCCAUGAGAAAGA